rnacentral:rRNA from 1 species
GGCGGACGGGUGAGUAACGCGUAGGAAUCUGCCUGGUAGUGGGGGACAACAUGUGGAAACGCAUGCUAAUACCGCAUACGCCCUACGGGGGAAAGGAGGAGAUCUUCGGACCUUUCGCUAUCAGAUGAGCCUGCGUGAGAUUAGCUAGUUGGUGGGGUAAAGGCUCACCAAGGCGACGAUCUCUAGCUGGUCUGAGAGGAUGAUCAGCCACACUGGGACUGAGACACGGCCCAGACUCCUACGGGAGGCAGCAGUGGGGAAUAUUGGACAAUGGGCGCAAGCCUGAUCCAGCCAUGCCGCGUGUGUGAAGAAGGCCUUCGGGUUGUAAAGCACUUU